GACGAACGCUGGCGGCGUGCUUAACACAUGCAAGUCGAACGGUAAGGCCCUUCGGGGUACACGAGUGGCGAACGGGUGAGUAACACGUGGGAGAUCUGCCCUGCACUUCGGGAUAAGCCUGGGAAACUGGGUCUAAUACCGGAUAGGACCACUGCCUGCAUGGGUGGUGGUGGAAAGCUUUUGCGGUGUGGGAUGGGCCCGCGGCCUAUCAGCUUGUUGGUGGGGUGAUGGCCUACCAAGGCGACGACGGGUAGCCGGCCUGAGAGGGUGACCGGCCACACUGGGACUGAGAUACGGCCCAGACUCCUACGGGAGGCAGCAGUGGGGAAUAUUGCACAGUGGGCGCAAGCCUGAUGCAGCGACGCCGCGUGAGGGAUGACGGCCUUCGGGUUGUAAACCUCUUUCAGCACCGACGAAGCGCAAGUGACGGUAGGUGCAGAAGAAGGACCGGCCAACUACGUGCCAGCCGCCGCGGUAAAAC
rnacentral:rRNA from 1 species